GAUGAACGCUGGCGGCGUGCCUAAUACAUGCAAGUCGAGCGAACAGAUGAGGAGCUUGCUCCUCUGACGUUAGCGGCGGACGGGUGAGUAACACGUGGAUAACCUACCUAUAAGACUGGGAUAACUUCGGGAAACCGGAGCUAAUACCGGAUAAUAUAUUGAACCGCAUGGUUCAAUAGUGAAAUACGGUUUUGCUGUCACUUAUAGAUGGAUCCGCGCCGCAUUAGCUAGUUGGUAAGGUAACGGCUUACCAAGGCAACGAUGCGUAGCCGACCUGAGAGGGUGAUCGGCCACACUGGAACUGAGACACGGUCCAGACUCCUACGGGAGGCAGCAGUAGGGAAUCUUCCGCAAUGGGCGAAAGCCUGACGGAGCAACGCCGCGUGAGUGAUGAAGGUCUUCGGAUCGUAAAACUCUGUUAUUAGGGAAGAACAAAUGUGUAAGUAACUAUGCACGUCUUGACGGUACCUAAUCAGAAAGCCACGGCUAACUACGUG
rnacentral:rRNA from 1 species